rnacentral:sRNA from 1 species
GGUCGGACACCGCCGAGUCGCCUCCGGGCGAGCCGGGGACCCAGGUACGUGGGGUGAAUCCGCACCGUGGUGCGGUAGGGCGGCUCCCUUCCCGCCCGAACCCGUCAGCUAACCCGGUAGGCGGUCAGGAAAGAAGGA